GUUUGACCUCAAAUCAGG
rnacentral:rRNA from 2 species